rnacentral:tRNA from 3 species
GGAGGGUUGCACCGAAUGGUAAGGUACCGCUCUUGAAAAGCGGCGGGUAGCAAUACCCUUGCAGGUUCGAGUCCUGCACCCUCCG